rnacentral:rRNA from 1 species
GGUUGAUAGGCCGCAAGUGUACGCCCAGGAAUGGGCUCAGCUGAGCGGUACUAAUCGGUCGUGCGGCUUGACCCCAUUU